UUGGUGCAGAAAACGUAGUCGGUGACGAAAGGAAGUCUACAUGUGCGAGUCUCUUUCGACUUUCUGCUUGUCCUGUGCACAUGUUCCUUUUCGAGAGAGGCACACAAAGGCUAUAUAUGGCCUGAGGGGAAACAGAGGAGUCGCGGCGGCGUUAAGCUCAAGAUUUUUUCGUUGGAGUGUCGAACGACAAUUUGCACGUUCGUAAAAUCUCCGAAGGAGCGUUGUUCGUCCUGCUGAAAAGCAAAGGACUUCUAGGAAAGGGGUGAGAACCGCAAACAGAACAUCACACGGGAGGUUUCACACCGUGCGUCUGUUGACACGACGCGGUCGACCAGCAAGCAUGCAGCCUGCAAAUACUGUUCCUCUUUCAAAAAGUGUUGACCUUCCUCCAUUUCAUGUUUGAAGCCAGCAUGUUUUGGCCUGCGGGAGCCAACAGGAGAAGCCGGCGGUGUCCAGCUUUUCUGGAGCGUAGUUCCCUGCUGGCUUAAUGCAAUGGCAACAGGGAAAGAGGCAACAUCACCUCGUCCUGCAGAGUGUGACACAAAUCGUGAUGGGCUCGAGACUGUCUGCAGCGUUUUCGGUGCUAACCAUGUUGAACGGAUAUAAGCGCCAGAAACGUAACUGUUAUUGGAACUCUUUUUUUCACGGAGGUUUAACGAGAGUAAAAUCGACCUGUCACGGUCCAGUGUUUUUGCUGAUGCUUACACUUAGCGUUGGUGUGUGGAGAACUAUUGCAUGAUAUCACCGGGGUCGAGGACACUCUGCCGCCGCAACUUUAGACGAAGAGAAUUCUGAGUCCUUCCCCAUAACUCGACAGGUUCG
rnacentral:lncRNA from 1 species